UGGAAUUGAAAGAAUUUCUCUGGGUUGAAGUUUCUCACUGACCUGUGUUCCUGAACCAUGAAGCAUGAAUAUGUGGGCUGAGAAAUAGUUUCUCUUGAUAAAUAAACAAUUAACAAAUUUUAAAAAGAGAGAAAGAUGAAGCUGGGCUAAUGGAGAAGGAGAACAGAUAUACGCGGUAUGCCGCCAGACCCUGGCUACUGCUUGGCCUUCGUCCCACGCUGGUGGUACAAUAAAAAAACUAAGACCUGCUCUGAAUUCAUUUACGGAGGUUGCCCGGGGAACAACAACAACUUCCAAACUGAAGAUAUCUGCAUGGUCACCUGCCAAACACUCCGUUGGCCUAAAUAGCAUAAGGAGGAGCUUGAACAACCUCCAGGAUUUGCUUCACAAUCCAGGCCUCUCUCCAUGUGUGCCUGAUUGGUGCUCCAUAUUGGCUCCAUGGGCCAAACCUUGGCUGUUCCAGAAACUGAACCCCAGGAAUUGCUAACACCCUUUCUUUCAGCGUAGCUUCUCUUCAAACACAAUGCCCUUCCCUUUGACCACCUCUCAGUAUGAAACUCUGUGUCUUCAACUUUCAGAACCCCUAUGUAUUCCUAUGAAGCCUUCAGUUCGCUUAAUAAAGUGCACUGAUCUCUCUGAGGCUGAAUAAUUUGUAUCUGCAAUAUGCUGAUAUUUACAUAUACUCUCAUCUGUCUGUAUGCAAUUUUCAGAGAACGAGAAAUCAUUGCACUUUCUGGUAACACUGAAAAAGGGAGAGAGGAGUAUGAAAAUCCUGCAAAUUGAGAAUGCUGGUGACAUUGUUACUUUAGUAAAAUUGUUGUAAGAUGCUUAAGAAUGGAGCCAGUGCAGAUCCAGAUUUUGUGUGGUCUAAACCUGAUAAAUCAGGAGCUCCUUUAGAAACCAAGCACAGGCCAGGUGCCGUGGCUCAUGCCUGUAAUCCCAGCACUUUGGGAAGCUGAGGCCAGUGGAUCACCUGAGGUUGGGAGUUUGAAACAAUGUGGAGAAUCCCUGGCUCUACUGAAAAUAUAAAAAAUUAGCCAGGCAUGGUAGUGCAUGCCUGUAAUCCCAACUGCUCAGGAGACUGAGGCAGGAGAAUUGCUUGAACCUGGGAGGCGGAGGUUGCAGUGAGCCGAGAUUGCGCCAUUGCACCCCAGCCUGGGCAACG